UUUUCACCCUCGGGUGACAGGGAGACAGGUGGUGCAUGGUUGUCGUCAGCUCGUGUCGUGAGAUGUUGGGUUAAGUCCCGCAACGAGCGCAACCCCUACGUUAGUUGCUAACAGGUGAAGCUGAGCACUCUAGACGAACUGCCGUUGACAAACGGAGGAAGUGGGAUGACGUCAAAUCAUCAUGCCCCUUAUGUUCUGGGCUACACACGUGCUACAAUGGCCGGUACAGACGGAGGCGAAGCCGCGAGGCGGAGCAAAACCGAAAAAGCCGGUCUCAGUUCGGAUUGCAGGCUGCAAUUCGCCUGCAUGAAGUCGGAAUCGCUAGUAAUCGUAGAUCAGCAUGCUACGGUGAAUACGUUCCCGGGCCUU
rnacentral:rRNA from 1 species